rnacentral:rRNA from 1 species
UGGCCUACGGGGCGCAGCAGUGGGGAAUAUUGCACAAUGGGCGAAAGCCUGAUGCAGCAACGCCGCGUGAAGGAAGAAGGGUUUCGGCUCGUAAACUUCUAUCAACAGGGACGAAAGAAAUGACGGUAACUGAAUAAGAAGCCCCGGCUAACUACGUGCCAGCAGCCGCGGUAAUACGUAGGGGGCAAGGGUUAUCCGGAAUUACUGGGUGUAAAGGGUGAGGAGGCGGGAUGGUAAGCCAGAUGUGAAAGCCUUGGGCUUAACCCGAGGAGUGCAUUUGGAACUAUAAAGCUAGAGUACAGGGG